rnacentral:ncRNA from 21 species
GCAAACAGGUUUUUGCAUGGUUCCCCAUUAAAGUCAUAAUAAAUGGCUGGGGAUCAAAUGGGAAUGUAGACAGGGACUACCCGAAUGGGGCCUAAAGCUGCAACCGCCCCCGCGACUGUGUGCGGAGAGUGAAGCCCAAAGCCACUGGUGAAAACUGGGAAGGCGGGCAAAACGAUCUAUCCGUGAGUCAGGAAACCAGCCUUGCAACGGCGUUAUCGC